CUGGAAUUGGGUUACCUGUGGCAUCCUUCUCUGGAAUCUGUCAGAAGACUGAACUUAGGGGCGAGGUUUUACUGAACUGGCUCAACUCUUGACCAUCAGAAGCUACACUUGAAAAUAUUUUAUUUUUUGUGUCUGUGUGAAACUGUUGUAAAAAGGAUUAAUCACUGCUGAUUCCUGAGAUGAUUUGAAGCAUUUAAAUUAAAAUUGCAUGUGUAAA